AACUUUCAACAAUGGAUCUCUCGGCUUACGCAUCGAUGAAGAACGCAGCGAAUCGCGAUAUGUAAUGUGAUCUGCAUUUAGUGAAUCAUCGAAUCUUUGAACGCAUCUUGCGCCCAAGGGUAAUCCUUUGGGCACGCCUGUUUCAGUGUUAUGUUAA
rnacentral:rRNA from 1 species